rnacentral:lncRNA from 1 species
UGCAAAAAAGGAAAACACUCUGCAAAACAACUAGAUUAGUCCAUAAACGCAUAUAUUAAUUAUUGAACUUACCGUGCGAUUUACCUCUCGUGAAGCCCCUCCUUUGCUCAAUAAAUCCUUGGUGAAUCUGGCCAAAGCGACAGAUUUCACCAUGCUCAAAUUUUUCGACGACUUCUGGCCGAAGCGACAAAAGUGUCGGGAGAGCUUGUGAUACUCCCCCCUGAAUUUCGACGACUUCUGGCCGAAGCGACAGAAGUGCCGGGAGAGCUUGUGAUACUCCC